AUGCAAGUCGAACGAGGUUAAUUCGGUAGCAAUACUGGGUUAACCUAGUGGCGAACGGGUGCGUAACACGNUGACCAACCUGCCUAGAAGUGGGGGAUAGCUCGGCGAAAGCCGGAUUAAUACCGCAUGUGAUCGUAAGAUCAAAGCAGCAAUGCGCUUUUAGAGGGGGUCGCGGCCUAUCAGCUGGUUGGUGAGGUAACGGCUUACCAAGGCAGCGACGGGUAGCUGGUCUGAGAGGACGACCAGCCACACUGGAACUGAGACACGGUCCAGACACCUACGGGUGGCAGCAGUCGAGAAUUUUUCUCAAUGGGGGAAACCCUGAAGGAGCGACGCCGCGUGGAGGAUGAAGGCUUUCGGGUUGUAAACUCCUGUCAUCUGGGAACAAAACUCGCAAGAGCUUGAUAGUACCAGAAGAGGAAGAGACGGCUAACUCUGUGCCAGCAGCCGCGGUAAUACAGAGGUCUCAAGCGUUGUUCGGAUUCAUUGGGCGUAAAGGGCGCGUAGGCGGUGGGGUAAGUCUGGUGUGAAAUCUCGGAGCUCAACUUCGAAAAUGCACUGGAUACUGCUCUGCUAGAGGGCUGGAGAGGAGAUCGGAAUUCACGGUGUAGCAGUGAAAUGCGUAGAUAUCGUGAGGAAGACCAGUGGCGA
rnacentral:rRNA from 1 species